CCACAUUGACCUGGGACCCCGUGGCAGAACUGGUGUGGGAAAAACCAGCUGGGUGCAUCAGCAGCAAGGCCAUUUCUUCUCAGCAGCCCUUGCAGUGUAUGUGAAGAGGCUGUUUCCAGGCAGCUCAGCAGCACUGGUGCCAGCCUUGCCAGUGAGCACAGCAUGCUCCCGCAGACAUGGGGACAGCACCCCAGUGGUGACAGCACCCCAGAGGUGACACCUCCCAGCCUGGGACAGGGGCCCUGCAGCAGCCCUGGGGCCAGGAGCCAUGUGUCCUUCCUGGAGCAGCUGCCAGAGACCAUACCUAGUG
rnacentral:lncRNA from 1 species